UGACCAGCAACUCCUAUCUCUACCUCCUCGCGGUACCGGCCAGAAACUAUGAGCAACCUUAGAGAAGAUCGG
rfam:Aedes albopictus isolate Foshan contig63359, whole genome shotgun sequence.